rnacentral:lncRNA from 1 species
UAUAAUCCCAGCAUUUUGGGUGGCCGAGGCGGGUAGAUCACUUGAGAUCAGGAGUUCAAGAUCAGCCUGGCCAACAUGAUGAAACCCUGUCUCUACUGAAAAUACAAAAAAUCAUCCGGGCGUGGUGGCGGACUCCUGUAAUCCCAGAUUUUCGGGAGGCUGAGGCAAGAGAAUCUCUCAAAUACGGGAGGUGAAGGUUGCAGUGAGCCGAGAUUCACCAUUGCACUCCAGCCUGGGCAACAAGAACAAAACUCCAUCUCAAAAUAAAUAGUUAGUGCCAAGCAUGUCAUGCUGUAGUCAUGCAAGUCUAAGUGUCUAACAGACCCUGAGAAGAACUCCAAAGUGGGCAUCGUAACCUAGCAACAGUGACCAUCCUAGGAAGAAUAGCACCCCAGGAACCCAGAUUAUGUUCUGUUUUGCAUACCAGUGAAACUAGUGACAUCAGCUGGUCUAAAGGACCCCACAAGCAGUUGACUCAAAGAACAAAGUUUCCAAGUUCUGAUUUUCAUACCCCUUCCUCGAUCAAUCAACAACCACAAUUUUCUAGCCCCUUGCCCUUCAUAAUUCUCUUAAAAACCCCAGCCCAGAACCCCUCAGAGAUGGAUUCGAGGGUCUCCUUCCAUCUCCUUGCUC